GACAGAGGGUGCAAACGUUGCUCGGAAUUACUGGGCGUAAAGCGCAUGUAGGCGGUUUCGCAAGUCGGGUGUGAAAGCCCAGGGCUCAACCCUGGAAGUGCACUCGAUACUACGGAGCUUGAGUUCUGAAGAGGAGAGCGGAAUUCCCGGUGUAGAGGUGAAAUUCGUAGAUAUCGGGAGGAACACCAGUGGCGAAGGCGGCUCUCUGGGCAGAAACUGACGCUGAGAUGCGAAAGCGUGGGGAGCAAACAGG
rnacentral:rRNA from 1 species